CGAGCGAGCUUGCCUAGAUGAUUUUAGUGCUUGCACUAAAUGAAACUAGAUACAAGCGAGCGGCGGACGGGUGAGUAACACGUGGGUAACCUGCCCAAGAGACUGGGAUAACACCUGGAAACAGAUGCUAAUACCGGAUAACAACACUAGACGCAUGUCUAGAGUUUGAAAGAUGGUUCUGCUAUCACUCUUGGAUGGACCUGCGGUGCACUAGCUAGUUGUAAGGUAACGGCUUACCAAGGCAAUGAUGCAUAGCCGAGUUGAGAGACUGAUCGGCCACAUUGGGACUGAGACACGGCCCAAACUCCUACGGGAGGCAGCAGUAGGGAAUCUUCCACAAUGGACGAAAGUCUGAUGGAGCAACGCCGCGUGAGUGAAGAAGGGUUUCGGCUCGUAAAGCUCUGUUGGUAGUGAAGAAAGAUAGAGGUAGUAACUGGCCUUUAUUUGACGGUAAUUACUUAGAAAGUCACGGCUAACUACGUGCCAGCAGCCGCGGUAAUACGUAGGUGGCAAGCGUUGUCCGGAUUUAUUGGGCGUAAAGCGAGUGCAGGCGGUUCAAUAAGUCUGAUGUGAAAGCCUUCGGCUCAACCGGAGAAUUGCAUCAGAAACUGUUGAACUUGAGUGCAGAAGAGGAGAGUGGAACUCCAUGUGUAGCGGUGGAAUGCGUAGAUAUAUGGAAGAACACCAGUGGCGAAGGCGGCUCUCUGGUCUGNCACUGACGCUGAGGCUCGAAANCAUGGGUAGCGAACAGGAUUAGAUACCCUGGUAGUCCAUGCCGUAAACGAUGAGUGCUAAGUGUUGGGAGG
rnacentral:rRNA from 1 species